CUAAUACGGAUUAUUUAUGGCAAAAUGACGUUUCGAAAUCACGGUGUUAUCUGGUGUUAUCAUAGAUCAUAGGUUAUAUCAAAACAUAAAGAUAGUCGUGAGGAGGAGUCAUAAAGUAGAUUUGUCGUGAGGUUCAGUAUACUAUUCAAUAUACUAUUUAUGGGAUGAAGUUUGUGAGUCGGUGAUCCUAUUGAACGCAUCCAUCAAACAGUAGUUGUCUAAUUCAGUUCAGGGAAUUUGCCUUAAGGUUAUUGACAGCUGGGACUUGAACAACCGGGUACAAUGUACAACUCGCUCUUUCAUUGGUCCAUACAGCCAGGACUUGGAAUGGAUAGAAUAAAUUGACUUGUAUUGAAACCGAGCUUCACGAUGAACCGAGCCUGCUCAAGAUGAAAUGAUUAUAGCUGAAGAAAAUGAAAAAAGAAGUUGAAGAUUUGGAAAUACUAUGCUGUAUGAUGAUAGGCUGGUGUUUACUGAACUUUGAAGUCACUUUGCUGCUGCCUUGAAGAAUUUGAGUCUGCUUGGAUUGAUAUACUUAAAAUGGUUUGAAUGCUGAUGAUGCUUUUCCAUAAGAUGAUGAACACUUUCCAGACCUUGCUGCUUCAAAUGCUUUUGAUGCUUUUAAAUGAGACGAAAAACUUCUUCCAGACUUUGUUCCUAAUGAGUUCCUUCCAGACUUUGCCGCUUUAAAGAAUUUGGAGUUUACUUCAAUCAUUUUAUAAUAGAAUACUUUGAUGCCUUGCCAAACGAAGCUUUGCUUCCCCAAAAAAAUUUUUCCAUUUUUUUCCCCAAUUUUUUUUACCCAAAAUUUUCUUCUACCCCAAAAAGUUUUUCCCCAAUUUUUUUUUCAAAAUUUUUGUCCCCAAA